GACGGUACCUCAUGAAUAAGCCCCGGCUAACUCCGUGCCAGCAGCCGCGGUAAUACGGAGGGGGCAAGCGUUAUUCGGAAUUACUGGGCGUAAAGGGCGUGUAGGCGGCCUAGCAGGUCAGAUGUGAAAUCCCCGGGCUUAACCCGGGAACUGCGUUUGAAACCGUUGGGCUUGAGUCUGGGAGAGGAAAGCGGAAUUCCAGGUGUAGUGGUGAAAUGCGCAGAUAUCUGGAGGAACACCAGUGGCGAAGGCGGCCUCCUGGACCAUUCCUGACACUCAGACGCGAAAGCUAGGGUAGCAAACGGAAUUAGAGACUCCGGUAGUCCUAGCCCUAAACGAUGCAGACUAGGCGUCGGUGGUUUAAUCACCGUCGGUGUCCAAGCUAACGCGAUAAGUCUGCCGCCUGAGGACUACGGCCGCAAGGCUAAAACUCAAAGGAAUUGACGGGUCCCCGCACAAGCAGCGGAGCGUGUGGUUUAAUUCGAUGCUCCGCGAAGAACCUUACCUGGGUUUGACAUAACAGUGGUAGAGAAGUGAAAACGGAUCGACCCUUCGGGGAGCUGUUACAGGUGUUGCAUGCCUGUCGUCAGCUCGUGUCGUGAGAUGUUCGGUUAAGUCCGCUAACGAGCGCAACCCGCGCUGUGUGUUACAAGUGUCACACAGUACCGCCGGUAUUAAGUCGGAGGAAGGUGCGGAUGACGUCAAGUCAGCAUGACCUUUAUAUCCAGGGCUACACACACGCUACAAUGGUCAGAACAAUAGGUUGCCAAGCCGCAAGGCGGAGCCAAUCCUCCAAAUCUGGCCUCAGUUCAGAUUGCAGGCUGCAACUCGCCUGCAUGAAGUCGGAGUUGCUAGUAACCGCAGGUCAGCAUACUGCGGUGAAUAAGUUCCCGGGGAUUGUACACACCGCCCGUCAA
rnacentral:rRNA from 1 species